rnacentral:rRNA from 1 species
UACGGGGGGGGUAAGCGUUGUUCGGAAUUACUGGGCGUAAAGAGCGCGUAGGCGGUUGUACUAGUCAGGGGUGAAAUCCCACAGCUUAACUGUGGAACUGCCUUUGAAACUGUGCAGCUGGAGUGUGUGAGGGGAUAGCGGAAUUCCUAAUGUAGAGGUGAAAUUCGUAGAUAUUAGGAGGAACACCGGUGGCGAAGGCGGCUAUCUGGCACACAACUGACGCUGAGGCGCGAAAGCGUGGGGAUCAAACAGG